ensembl:lncRNA
CCUAAGGAUGCUUAGACGAGACAUCUCCAGAUAGCCUUGUGAUAUGGGGGCGUCGUGAUCUGUUCUCAGAGAUGAGAGAUGCGAAAUGGGGGUAUACAGGAGGCGGUCCUAAGAUGGUGGAGGAAUAGGAUGGGAAGACCACUUUCUCCCUCACAAAUUCCUCAAAAGAACAUUUCAACGCUGAGCAAACUCCACAAAACAACUUCUGAAUGCUGGCAGAGGACAUCAGGCAACCAGAAAAGCAGACCAUUGUCUUCAAAAACAGGGGUCUGUAUGUAGAAGCGGAGCACAGAGUUGUUGUUUUCCUUGCUGCCUCUUGCCAUUGUUCUAUGUCGACCCCAUCUCUUACAUUUGUGAAGAUCUACAGCUGUCCCUAUCCCGUGCCAGUGUGCCUUCUUUCAUAGUUGUGAACUCUGACUCCUCAAGCAUGUACCACAUAAUAAAAGAAGGAAGGCUUA